GAUAUCAAAGCUACGAGUAAUAAGUUUAAGAAAGGUCUUAAAGUAGUGAAAGCCGAAACUUGGUAAAGUUAAUUAUAACUAUGAUACGUUUGAUCUUUUGACAUUUUGAAUUUUAGUUCACUGCCCUGUGGCUUGAGAGACGAUGAUCAUAAUUGGUUACCGAAAGUAAAGAAGAAUGAGAAAUAAAACAUUAUUCAUCUCCAAGUAAACUCAAUUUCAAUAUCUUCUUACUUAGUUUAAGCUGUAAUUGAAAUCAUUAAUCUUUGAAAGCUGUUAAAUAUAAUUAAAUCUAAUUAAUAUCUAUACUAUUAAAAAUUAAAAAAGAUGAAGUCCUAAAAAAUCUACUUAAAAGUUGUUAGUGUAUAUAUAUAUAUAUAUAUACACAAUUUGAGAGUGUAAGAGAAUCCUAAAACAAUUUCACUUGAAAAAAUGAGAUUUCAUCUAUAUACA
rnacentral:lncRNA from 1 species